GGGAGUACGGUCGCAAGAUUAAAACUCAAAGGAAUUGACGGGGACCCGCACAAGCGGUGGAUGAUGUGGAUUAAUUCGAUGCAACGCGAAAAACCUUACCUACCCUUGACAUGGCAGGAAUCCCGAAGAGAUUUGGGAGUGCUCGCAAGAGAACCUGCACACAGGUGCUGCAUGGCUGUCGUCAGCUCGUGUCGUGAGAUGUUGGGUUAAGUCCCGCAACGAGCGCAACCCUUGUCAUUAGUUGCUACGAAAGGGCACUCUAAUGAGACUGCCGGUGACAAACCGGAGGAAGGUGGGGAUGACGUCAAGUCCUCAUGGCCCUUAUGGGUAGGGCUUCACACGUCAUACAAUGGUACAUACAGAGGGCCGCCAACCCGCGAGGGGGAGAUAAUCCCAGAAAGUGUAUCGUAGUCCGGAUUGUAGUCUGCAACUCGACUACAUGAAGUUGGAAUCGCUAGUAAUCGCGGAUCAGCAUGUCGCGGUGAAUACGUUCCCGGGUCUUGUACACACCGCCCGUCACACCAUGGGAGCGGGUUCUGCCAGAAGUAGGUAGCUUAACCGCAAGGAGGGCGCUUACCACGGCAGGGUUCGUGACUGGGGUGAAGUCGUAACAAGGUAACC
rnacentral:rRNA from 1 species